UCUCCGUUGGUGAACCAGCGGAGGGAUCAUUACAGGACUCGCAAGACUCCUACAACCCUGUGAACUUAACUAUAAGCACGUUGCUUCGGCGGGUGUCUCGGAGGGGUUUUUCCCUCCCCGGGAUGCUAAACCCCCCGGCAGCCUACUAUACCCUGUCUCUUUGCGUUGGCAUCUCGUGUAAAAUCAAACAAGGUAAAACUUUCAACAACGGAUCUCUUGGUUCUG
rnacentral:misc_RNA from 1 species